GGAAAUCAGGAAGAGGGCAAACACUUUUUUCACAUCACUGUACUCUAUCCAAUAUAUUUUACUAAAUCAUAGAUUUUUAAAGUCAGAAAUUCCUUAGUGGCUCCUGCGUGUUGCUCUCACCAUUUUCCAAGUAGACGAGACUAGACAUGGACAUGAGAAGCCAAGCAGGAAAGACAAGGGAGAGGGAGAAAAGUGCGACCGCCUUGGUCAAGAGCCAAACGAGGGUAUCAUCUAUAUUGAUGGCUUGGUGAUACAUUUCUUAUCUGUUCACAUUCCUGCAGAAACACAAAAGUCCACACACAGAAUUCAGACAUUAGAAGAUUCAUUUUCACUACUCAAGCUCAUUUAUCAUUUAACAUAUUAAUCAGACUUGUAGUUUGAUUUAUGUGUUAUGGUCCGUGGCUCUGUGUCUGGGCAGUGUGUGGGAUGCCCUGGUGGCCACACCCCCAGGCUGGGCCAUCACCAUCACACCUGCGUCCCAUUCCAGGUGAUUACCAGGAGGACUAUUUAACCCUGCGCUGACGGAUGCUCCACGCCAGUCCGUUAGUCACCCAUCAGUGGUUACUAUCUGGCGUUUUGUGCCUGCCACCGGCCUAUCCUCAUGCCUGCUCGGAUCUCUGAGUGCACCAUCUAUCCUCGUCCCUGCCUCCUCGUAUUUGCCUCCCACGGACAUGCUUCCCCCCCUCCGAGUCCCACGGUCCGGCUCUCAUCCCUCCCAUGGUCCCGAAUACAGCUUCGCUGUGUAUUUUGUCUUCCAGGUUUCCUUCAGUUGCGUGAUUUUGCUUCCUUGGUUGUUCUGGGUCACCUUUUGUUAAAUCAAUAAAAUCUGUACUUG